GCGGUUCCCACAGCGAGUGAAGAACCAAGGAACAGCUGACUUCCUCCCAGUGAAGCCCAGACAUGAGUGGGAAUGGCAUAGCUGUCACCAGCAUUACCACAGUAUGGAGGCCUUUAGUACCUAUGACUUGCUGGAUGUCUUUACUGGACAGAAGGUCGCCGAGGGACACAAGGCCAGUUUCUGUCUGGAGGACACAUCCUGUGACCCGGGUGUACGACGACGCUUCGCCUGCACUGCUCACACACAGGGACUCGGCCCCGGUUGCUACGAUACGUAAUACGAAAUGUUUUUAGUGUGAGUUACUCAGAAAAAUGCUUUUAUCAAAAUAUCAGCAAGGAGCUUCACUCAGUUUAACCAUUUCACCACCGGUGGGCUUCAUUUGGUUCGGCAUGUGCGCGAAGACAUGUUAUCAAAACAUUAGGCGAUGGUGAAGAAGAAGAAGAAGAAUUUAAGAUCAUAACUCCCAUAGUCUAUAUCACUACUUAA